CCCUUAGAUGUUCUGGGCCGCACGCGCGCUACAAUGAUGCAUUCACCGAGUUUAUAACCUUGGUUGAAAAGCCUGGGUAAUCUUUUGAACUUUCGUCGUGAUGGGGCUAGACCCUUGCAAUUAUUGGUCUCCAACGAGGAAUUCCUAGUAAACGCAAGUCAUCAGCUUGCAUUGAUUACGUCCCUGCCCUUUGUACACACCGCCCGUCGCACCUACCGAUUGAAUGGUCCGGUGAAAUCUUCGGAUUGAGACUUUGAUUUCUUCACGGAAAACGCUGUUUUAAGAAGUUGAUUAAACCUUACCAUUUAGAGGAAGGUGAAGUCGUAACA
rnacentral:rRNA from 1 species